UACGUAGGGAGCAAGCAUUAAUCGGAUUUAUUGGGCGUAAAGGGCGCGUAGGCUGGAGCGUAAGUCAGAUGUGAAAUCCCGGGGCUCAACCCCGGAACUGCAUUUGAAACUGUGUUUCUAGAGGGUAGGCGGAGAAAACGGAAUUCCACAAGUAGCGGUGAAAUGCGUAGAUAUGUGGAAGAACACCAGUGGCGAAGGCGGUUUUCUAGCUUAUACCUGACGCUGAUGCGCGAAAGCAAGGGGAGCAAACAGG
rnacentral:rRNA from 1 species